AUACGUAUGUCGCAAGCGUUAUCCGGAUUUAUUGGGCGUAAAGCGCGUCUAGGCGGCUUAGUAAGUCUGAUGUGAAAAUGCGGGGCUCAACCCCGUAUUGCGUUGGAAACUGCUAAACUAGAGUACUGGAGAGGUAGGCGGAACUACAAGUGUAGAGGUGAAAUUCGUAGAUAUUUGUAGGAAUGCCGAUGGGGAAGCCAGCCUACUGACAGAUACUGACGCUAAAGCGCGAAAGCGUGGGUAGCAAACAGGAUUAGAUACCCUGGUAGUCCACGCCGUAAACGAUGAUUACUAGGUGUUGGGGGUCGAACCUCAGCGCCCAAGCUAACGCGAUAAGUAAUCCGCCUGGGGAGUACGUACGCAAGUAUGAAACUCAAAUGAAUUGACGGGG
rnacentral:rRNA from 1 species